CUGCUCCAUGGGCUGGGCUGGUGAGACACAAUGCAUACAGUUGGUCUGCACUGCCUGUAAGUUAAACAAAUCCAUUCUAAAGCUCAAGAAGUGUAAAAUACGUGUGCCAAUAUACAGAUCUUGGUGUGGAAAGGGGAAUCCUCUGGUAACCCAGAGGCUGCCACAGGAUUUCAUGUGAGUUUGGAUAAGUGACUUGUUCUCUGCCACUGUAGAAGACGAAUACUAAUGCUUUUGCUUCUCAUAGGCUUUUGUGAGGCUUAAGACUGUAAUAUACUUGUAUUAUAAUGAGAUGACUUUAUGUAUGCAAAUAAAAUGGUUUUGUUCUUAUCAUCUCUCCUAUAGAACCGGAUUUAAGAUUGAUUGGCAUAGUAACAGGACUUGGAGGAAUGUUAGGCCCUGAGUGUACUAUACGAAGAAUGUAGGAGAAACAAAAUGUGCUAAGGCUACAAGUGCCUGUGAAAAAUGAGAAGGAAAACCAGGGUGAAUUAUUAGAAAGGCAGAAGGAGUACUGAGGGGACAAGGUCAUGAAAGCCCAGUGGAUAGAAUUUCAAGGUGAAUAUGACCAGUGAGCUCCAAGGGUGAAUUAAAAACAACAACAACCACCAAAAACAAACAAACAAACAAAAAAGUGGCAAAUGAACUGGAAGAGAUGGAAACUAAAAACAAAGUUCCAGAUUAGUAAUUUCUUUGUGAUAAGGGCAGAAGGAAGUGGAUUAAAAACAAGUUUUAAGUCCAGAGCAUUAAGUGGACAGAUUUUUAAUGUAGGCUUAAUGAGAGUUUUUCCUUCAACUAUAGGUAUAUGAGGUAUGUCAAAAAUACUAGGCUUAGGCAUUCCUCUAGUUUGCUUUAAAAUGAAAUUAAUUCAGCUGAUUUCCUUGAACUUGCAGCAUUGUUAAACUGGCUAAAUGAGAAGAGAGUCAAGGUUGUUAUUUUCAAAAACUUGAGAAAUGUAAACAAGGGUGUUCUGCCAGAUAGAAACUGAAGAGUUAAAGAUCUUUUGCAUUUGUUGUGUACUCCUUCAGCAAACAUAAUGGAGAUGAAAGUCACAGACUUGAAACUCAAUCAUCCAACCAUGAAACAACUAAGAAAAGAACCAAGGCACAAGUAUGGUGCCUGGCUAAAAUCUAAUGAUAGUUAUUAAUUUACAGGCUAAUUUGGCUUCAGAAGUCUUUUGUUCUUUCCCUCUCUUUUCCACAUGUCUUUUGGGAUGCAAUUAAAGGUCUUAGUUUUCACAUUUGCUAUUGUGCUAAGCUACUUCAGGUUGUCUUGACAUCAUACUGUUUCACAGCAUGGUCAACAGAAAUACCACGUUCUACAAAAUCCAUCUUUGGGUGUAUGAAGCAUUUGCCUUAUUUUAUUGUUACAGCACUACAUCAGUGGCACAAAACAACUUAAUGAAGGUUGUUUUACAGUGACAAAGCUGUGUUGGGGAGCAGUGGUGGUAAGGAAACUCAGGAAGACAAUGAGUAUUUAUGUUACAAUAGUGUCUGCAACAUGCUAGAAAUGUUUUCCUAGCAUAUAAGACCCUAUUCAUUGCCAAAGACCUUGUUCCUUAAAAGACAGUGUAAGGACAAAGCACAACAAAAACCAACGUGAUGAUUGCCAGAACUGAAGAGGAAGGGACUUACUUCUCUUUCUUUUCAGCUGGUUACUCUUCACUUGCUCCCUAAAGUGGCCUUUCCAAGAUAGCUAAUUUCUUGUCUGUCAGUGGAUGUUGGAAAAGAACUUUACCAGUGACUAGGUAAUGAUGAGACAUACUGCUUUGCAGAGAAUGCAGUGAAAAGUCUUUAAAAUUAAAUACCAGUCAUAAUGAGGAUGUUGUGGGAUAAACUCAGUGCAAGGUCAUUGUUUUUUAUCACCACUUAGAUAUGGAUCUGAUAUGUUUAUUAGAAAGGGAAAAAAGAAAAGGUUGGUCAGUGAAUAACUUCUCUGUUUUUAUUAAGUAGUAAUAAUAGCUGCAUUUAUACCAUGCUUUACAUAGCUUGCGUACUGCAGCGCUGAGAUUAUACAAGCAACCAAAAAAGAAUCCUUGAAGCCCGGGGAGAAGAGGAAUGCAGAGUAACAAGGUUAUAGAAGGUUACAAAGUCAGUUUAGAAAUAAAGUUUGAAUGAAAAGUAAUCUCAUGUUGAGAUAGUUUUGCUGUGAAUGGGAAAAAAAAUGCUUGGACUCCAGGCUAAGUUUUUCAUUGCUGCCAGCAGGCCUCUUGGAAGCUACAUGUGCUCCUGAGGUAGGUGGUAGUAUAAGGUGUCAGUGAGACAGAUGCAUGUCCACAACAGUGUCAAAAUUAAAAGUCAGAACUUGGGGGCUUGUAGCAUUUGCUCUCUUCCACCCAGACCACUCCACCAUGUUCUUCAGCCUGACUGCUGCUAUUCCACUUAGACCAUUAUUCACUGGUCUCACCAGUGCCAUUUUUCAAGCUUGCUUUUCAUACUAGCAAGUGAACUGUAACAGGUUUGCAGCUUUUCCAAAGUAAAGGAGAGAACUGUUUGUCUGAGUUGGAUUCUCUGUUAAAGUCACUUCCUUUCUAAUCAGGACAAAGUGUACAAAGUACAUCCACAAGGCUAUGCAAGUGCUCCUUUGUUGAAUGCAUGCUCUUUCCUGAGGUAUUCAAAGGGUUAGGAUGGUUUAUUUGUCUCCCAGAUACCUCCCCUGGACCCUGUUCUGCAAAGCAAGGAAAGGGUCACCCAAUAGAGGUGAUCUGGAAGGUGGGGGAGUCAUUGCCCUGCGAGACUAGUGCUGACCAUUACAGAGGAGCACAUGACCAAACACAGGGUCCCCUCAAAUCACUAGGGCAGCAUAACUGAAGGGGUCUCAGAAAUUUUCGAGAUCCAGGCUUUGAUAUGCCAAGAACUUGGUAUUUUCCACAGUAUGAAGUAGCAAAGGGCACUUGGAACAACAGAGAAUUUGGCUCAGAGCCCUGAAAAUGAUCUGCAGUAUCCUGUACCAUCUCUCAUCCUGCUUAGUGCUUGUUGAUGCCAUUGUAGAGUUUCCCUAAAAGUUUUUGCUGAAAUUAAAGUAAUAGAAUAAGUUGGUUGUCACUGAAUAUCAUAAUGGUCUAAUGUUCAAAAGAAAAAACCUUUCGUUAUAGUCUGAGUUUAUAAGUGUUGGACUAAAUUAUAAGGAGUAUUCUCAAUUACUCUAUGUAAACUUGUGUUUAAUACUGCCUUUAAUAUUAUGAGAUUCCUCCGGGCUAUUUAACUAAAAUUGGUUUUGUUGUCCCUGAAUCUGUCUGAAAUUAUAUGCCUUUUCAUAUCUGGGAAUAUAGCCUAUUUUUAUUACACCAAAAAUAUGGUUAGGGUUGAUCCAGAGAUAUUUAUACAUAUUAAAAUUUUUGUCUACUGUAAUAAUUUUAUUCACAUUUAAGGAAAAUUAUUUAUGCUAGUGAAGUACAGAACAAUGGCUUUUUUUUCUUUUUAGCUGAAAAUUCUGCUUCCAGAUGUCUGUAUCUGUAAAGCUGUGGAAAUGCAACAUAGCUUAGAAAAUGCUCAAGACCAACUCAUUCCAGUUUUGUCCUCAUUUUCAGCUUUGUACCAUGGAAAGUUCAAAACCUUUUUUUCACAUUGUUUGUGAGAUUUCUCCAGAGGGAGUAUUUCUGGCUCUGGUUAGAAAAGAACUCACUGUCUUGCUAAAGAUUGACAAUUAUGUACAUUUUUGGUCUCUAAUUUUAGCAAGCCAGCAGGCCCUCAGGGUGCUUAAAGUCCAGUUAUGAACAGAAAAUUACUUUCAAAGAACAUUUGUUAAACCCAUUUGAAAUCCAUGCACUGAUACAGAAAUAAGCAGUUCUGGGGGCAAAAAAAGAGAGAGAUUCCUGUUUUAUCUGUAUGUUGGUCAAAUUUAUCUGUACUGCUCCAGGAACUUCUCUUGAUUUUGGUGCAGACAAGUCUUCCAGAGUGAGAACAGGUGACUCCAACAUAAAGUCCAGCACUUCAUAGCACCACAAUCACAAAAAGACCUUUUCAUUCUGCAUCUGAUAUGUGCUUCCUGCCCCUCUGUCAUCAUGAUUCAGCAUGGUGACAUGCUGAAAGAUCAUUAAGGUGGAAACAAUGCCGUGCAGUGUUAGGAUGAUGUGACCUGCCGUGAUUAUUUUGUGUGUACCUGAUUUGCUGCACAUCAUAUUUUCUCUUUCCUCAUCUUUUGGCUGCCAGGCACGUAGUUCUUACUUCUGCCAGUGCCUGGUUUUGUAUUUGGAAAAGGGAACAGGGAUGCCCUGAGGUGUAGGCAAGGACAGUUUGCUCUCUGCCCCUUGGUUUGGGAAGCUUGAGAAUACCUCAGCUCAUGUUUUGCAAUAUAUAGAGCCAUUUAAUGAGUUACCAAGUCUCCAGUUGGGGUUUUUGUUUUUUUUGUUUUGUUUGGGUUUUUUUUGGUUUUUUUUUUUUUUUGAUUACCUAGAAACAGUUACCCAGAGCUGAAGAGAGGAGCUCAAGAAGUGUUCCUGAAAUUAUGAAGACAUAUUUGUUAAAAAACUGGACAUUUUAUCAUUGGGUUGAAGAUGCAGUUUCUUUUCCUUUUCUCCAGAUAGCACAAUUUCUGUUAUCCCUAAACUCUUUUUCUUAUGGAGGCAGUUGUACAAGUAGGGGAGAUUCCAAGAAAACAGUGAGCUUAAAACAUUUGCUGCUAUGAAAGAAGAGACCUGUCUCAGUAAUUUAAGAGAGGAAGGAAAAGAUAAUAGUGAGUGAGGUUGUGAGCUGGUAAGACUGACUGGGUAGUAUUCCUCAGUAACACUUGGUGGUUUGAUUUUUGUUCUUUUUUUGAUGAGGCAAUUUCUUGAGAAGAAUGGGGACGGGCUUCAUUUUUGUUUGUUUUUCAAGUGAACAAUGGUGUCCUCCCUCUUUUCUUGAACAAUGGGGAUAAAAUAUUAUAGCUCAUGUUUUGUUAAAACUAUUGAGAAUGCACAUCUGUCCUGAAGAGCUCACCUUUCCCAGGGCUGGCUACGGACACACACACACACAAGCACUGUGAGCCUGAAUCCCAAAGAGUCACCACAAUUAAGGUGGACUCAGUAGCAUGUCUUCUGUCACUACCCAUUCCUCCUUCUGCCAGGACAGUGCCUGUUCCCAUGCUCCCCUCUGAUGCAUAAUACAAUGCAACAUCCUGUUGCUCUCUUGCCUUUGCACCCCUCAGUGUCUACCCCAUCCCAAGGGCUUUGUGAUGUCUAUUCUUGCAUUUCCAUUCUUCCCAAAGACACAGGAUUUUACUCCAUGCCCUUCUGUUUGCCUUCAGUGCUCCUCUUGUGCCCUUCUUCAACGCUUUCUUCAGUUGCAGCUCAUUUAAGACAUGGUGUUGAGUUGCUGCCACCAGAAAGGGUGGUUCUGCUCCCUCCAGAGCCAUGCUCCUUGGCAUCACUCUUGUCAAGCCCUUUGGUGAGUCAGUUCAAGAGAGUAGUUUUCUGUUGGAUUAACAAGUUGGAUCAGUUUACCAAGUGGUUUGAUGUGGUGUAAGAGAGGGUGUGGACCAGCAGGGCCAGGAGUUGGGGAGGGAAAAGCAGGACCACCCAAGUCAGAAUAGUAAGCUGACUCAGUCACGUCAUGUAACUUCAGUCUUAUUUACUUCAUAUUAUGUAACUUGACCCAUUUCUACUUUCUCUCUGACUGAAGAGAAGCUUUUCAUUUUGAAACUGUAUUGGAAUCAGCAGAUCCAAAGUGCAGGAUAUUGUAUACCAAGACAGGGUAAUGGCUAGUGUCACCUGAUACUGCUAUCUAAGGAUGCAAGGAGAGGUGUUUCAGGCUAUCGAUGGUGCCAACAGCAUGCCAGGGACUCAGAUUUUGCAUUCAGAUGGCACAACGCUGUUCAUGAAUCCACUGAAACAUAAUGUUGGAAUUGUACAUUGGAGAGCUUUUCCAAAGGAGUACCAAAAUAUUAAGUCCUGGAAAAUUAAGCUUACAAGGUUUUUGUGCAAACACACAGCUGAAUUUGUAUCAUUAACAUCCUUGUUUUGUGUUCAGAGUGAUAGUAUGUGCUACAGAGCUGUAAUUAGUGCUGGGUUGUGUCUGAGUCUUGCUAUCAUUCUGCAUCAGUUUGUCACUGUUAGAGUCACCCGAACCUGUUCCUUGCUCACCCAGUUAGCUAAUUAGUGACCUAGAGAAAAGGUGGCAUUUAUUGGUACUAGAAGAAAUGGCCUUUCAUUUUUAUGGAGAAGCAAAAACAGGUCAACAAGAAUUUGCUGCUUUUUCAUCCACUUACAGUGCAAUGGAAGAUGAUUAUGCUUAUCUUGUCAGGAGGUGGAUUUCACUUUUUUUCUUCCUUUCCUGUUGCAUUAGGCUUACAUUUUCUCCCUGGAAUUAUUCUCUCUUUUUUUGUUGUUGUUUUGAGUGUGUUUUGUUAUUUGUUCAUUUGUUUGUUUUGGGGUGUGUAUGUGCCCUCAGAUUGUUGGUAAUGCUGGGACCACGUUCAGGAGUUUUCAUUAAAAAGCAGAUUCCUAAAAAGGAUUUCUAUAUUAGAACUUCCUCACUGUGUGAUUGACUUCUAACUGGAGGGGAUAGGCAGACAAUAGAUGAAGAUUCUGUCCUCAUCUAUUUACCAAAUUGUUCAAAUCGUUGUUGAAAUUUGUGUGGGAGGCAACACUCCUCCCUUUUUGCAAACACAUCCUCCAGUAAAAGCCAUGUGCUGUGGGCAAAAGUAGUCAAGGGCUUGCUGCCUUUUUCUUUCUUUUUUUAAUAAACAGCAGCUUAUCAGUUUGAGAGGCUGAGCAUGGCUAGGUCAUAUACACACACAGACUCGUGUUUGUGGAUAUGCCCAUCCUGUGAACCCAGCCUGACUCCUACCAUAUUGUAGUUACAGCAACCAUUUCUCCACUAUUUUAAUGCAUAUUCUGUAUUUAACUUGUGACAUGAAUAAAAGAAACGCUGAGUCA